CUGGACAUGAAACUCAUGCUUUCUCGUAGCGUUAAAGUGCAAUGCAUAGUAGUCCUAAACGGGAAUAUUCCCUUUGGUGCUGGCUGCACGCAAAGAGUCACCACUUUCCAGCGCCAUCUUGUUGGAGACUGAUGAGGUGGAAUUUAAGGU